CGCCCAACAGCUAGCCCCCUCUACUAAAAACAACAAAACCUUAUUUAUAACCCCAAAAACACUACCAAUUAAAAACAAACCAUUUUACCUCCUCAAGUAUAGGCGAUAGAAA
rnacentral:rRNA from 1 species